rnacentral:rRNA from 1 species
GACGAACGCUGGCGGCGUGCUUAACACAUGCAAGUCGAACGGAAAGGCCCUGCUUUUGUGGGGUGCUCGAGUGGCGAACGGGUGAGUAACACGUGAGUAACCUGCCCUUGACUUUGGGAUAACUUCAGGAAACUGGGGCUAAUACCGGAUAGGAGCUCCUGCUGCAUGGUGGGGGUUGGAAAGUUUCGGCGGUUGGGGAUGGACUCGCGGCUUAUCAGCUUGUUGGUGGGGUAGUGGCUUACCAAGGCUUUGACGGGUAGCCGGCCGGAGAGGGUGACCGGCCAAAUUGGGAUUGAGAUACGGCCCAGCCUCCUCCGGGAGGCAGCAGUGGGGAAUAUUGCACAAUGGGAGGAAGCAUGAUGCAGCAAAGCCGCGUGCGGGAUGACGGCCUUCGGGUUGUAAACCGCUUUCGCCUGUGACGAAGCGUGAGUGACGGUAAUGGGUAAAGAAGCACCGGCUAACUACGUG